UACCGCUCUCUUUUAAAA
rnacentral:snRNA from 1 species